CAUCCAGGAGGACAGGUUGUGUUGUGCCCUCUCAUACCCUGAUUCCUCCACCCACAGUGCCCCUUCCUGUAGAGAAGGCUGGCCUCACAACCAUCACCAGCCAAGGGCAGAACUUCCCAGAGUCACAGCAUUUUGGGGGAAGGUGGGAAAAGUAGGCAAGUCUGACCCAAGUCCACGGCAAACUCUCUCAGCCUGCUCUAAAUGUUCUCAUUUCUUUCCUCAGAAAAGAAUCCAGCAGCUUCUCCAGUUUUGUCCUAAGAAAACAUGGCUUCCUCACUCUGUCUCAGGACAUCAGUGUUCAGAGCUCUAUACUGGGUCCUGAGCUAGCAUCCCUCCUUCAUCACCAAGGAGAUUUCACAAAAAAGUAGAGUUCUGUUCCUGGGCAGAGAGCUUGGAGAUGUCCCUGAUGUCAAGAAUUGAGCCCCUCAUAUCCCAGCCCCCAGCCCAGGGGCACAUCAAAAUGUGUGAAGGAGAGACUGACCAACUGCCCUGAAAUCUCAGCAUUUCACGCUCACCAAGCACAGGGGCAGGAGUGUCUUCCUGUUCAACAUGGCAGGCUGACCACAUGAUAAACUUCCUUGUCCUCCCUCAAGAUCUCAUUGAUGUAAGACUAAAGGUAUGCAAAAGUAGAAAGCUCUUGACCAAAAGGAGCCCCCAGUGACAAAGAGAAAAGUCCUUUCUGGAUCAAUAGGAACUGGAUUUGGAAGCAACACUCUGAACAAUGUACUGCUGCUGACGUGGAGGCCCUGCUCCAGGAGAGACUGGGGGUGCCAUAUACCGAUAACGUGCAGACAUUUGCACAUGAUCAGGUAUUACAUAUGUCACUCGGGAUGUGUCUUGUUAACUUUACUCAUCACCAAUACCUAUCCAUGCAAAGUGUGGGAGCCUGAGGUGCUGCUUGUUCCUCUCUGAGGAGGGGAUAGUCAACACCCGCACCACCCAACACCCUGUCUUGACAGGUAUAAUGUCCUAAUCUCCAGGGAAAUGUGAUGGCCCCUCACCUCCGGGGGGCUGCAGAGCAUUCAAAAUGUGGCUACUGCCACUGAGAAACCAAAUUUUAUUUAACUUUAGUUGAUUCCAAUUGUAAUAGCCAAAGAUAACUAGUGGCUGUUAAAUUGGAUAGUGCAGAUGCUACAAUUAAAUGGCACCUCUUACAGAGUGGACACAGCUGUCAUAGUGGUAGUACUAGUGAUGUUAGUAACAGUAACAAAGUAAUGGCUCCAAUCACUAACCUGUUUUUACCAUAAAAUCAUCCCCCUAAUGAUGGUGAGGUGUUUUAAAACUAGUACCUUGUGGUGGUUGAUGGUUUUUGAAGUGCAAGAAUCUCACAUUUGAUUUCUUGCCUCCUCUUAAGUAGAAGUGAAUGGGGUACUUGACAUCACACUGCAGAGUCCAUGUGACCCUUUUGCAUAUGGUACAACCCAGGCAGACCUGCUGUAGGCACAGUUUCAGCAGAGGGGGAGUUCAGAGAGGAACUGAAUGACUUGACUUGGCUUGAGCACCUACCCAGGUCCCCAGCUGCUGGAGUCAGCCUAGGCAGGAUGGCCCUGUGUCUACCCUCUGCCCUGGGCUCACCUGUUUUUUUCUUAGUUGUGGAUAGAUCUUUAAUUUUUUUUAUUUAUAAAUGGUGCUGAGAAUGGAACACAAGGCUCCGACAUGCAAGGCAAAUGUGCUAUGGCUGAGCUACACUCCCAAUGUGGUAACUUUUUAAAAAAAGUGUUAGAGAUAUAAUUAUAUAGGAAUAUGUAUACAGAUAUGUAAAAGUAAUUUUAAGAAAUAAAACACUAGAGGGACUGGGGAUGUAGCUCAGCGGUAGAGUGCUCAACUGGUAGAGCAGAGGCCCUGGGUUUGAUCCUCAGCACCACAUCAAAAUAAAUCAACAAAAUAAAGGCAUUGUGUCCAAAUACACUCCCUCAAAAAAACCUAGUAAAAUAUAUAUUUUAUAUAUGCAUGUAAAAUGAUUACAGUGGACCACUUCUUGGUAAAAUUAAAAAAUUAGCCACAGUACCAAUGAAUGACUCAUUUAAAUUGAAAUUCUUGGGCUAAAGGUAGGCAUGCACUUUAAAUUUUGGCAUAUUUUCUGAAACUUCUCUGCAGAAGAGUUAUGACAAUUUUGUGUUGCAGUUAUGAGAGCAUGAUAAUUCCAUUCUCCAACGCUGUUGACAUUAGAUUUUCACACUCUCUUUAUUCUGUGUAUUUGAUAGGCAAACACACACAUGUACUUUAUGUUUCCUUUGGAUUCCUCUACUGUGAUUUGGAUUACUAAAUUUUUGGUAUGUCAUCUUGUAUAAACAGCAGACACUGGGUUUUCCCACUUUUGUAGGCUCUUUGUUUCUCCCUAUUGACUUGUAGGAGGUCCCUAUGUUGUUAAGUUCUCAGAAGCAGGGCAGAUACCCACAGAAACAUCACCAAAAAACUGUUUUCUAGCAAUUGGCCACAGUUUUGCCUCUUGCAGAGAGCUCUUUGCCAGCUUGACCUGAGAACUUCCCUUUACUCUGGCCUCUCAAAACUUGCACCGCCUCCCAAUCACCUUGCCCUGUGGACCAAGCCUUGAACAUAGGUUGCCUUGAGAAUCUUCAACAUCCCAGCCACAGAUACCUGGCGCAGUCUCGCUGCAGCAAAAUAACGGGGGGUUGGGGGGGUGGGGGUGACGAGCAAUUUGUGAAGACUGAUUUAGCAGGAGUGGGAGCCGUUUAUUGUAGGACAGGAGGGGUACAUUACACACAGCUUAUCUUAAUUAACAUAAACUAGAUACAGCAGUCAACCAAUAAGGAGUCUCCACACUUAAUGGCUCGCUGGCAUUACUUCACAAACCACUCCCUCUGGCAAAAUGCCAGGCACCAUCUUGACUUGUUUACAGACCCUAACAGAUACCCUUCACUGAGUGCAGUGAAUCAUGUAAGCUCUGUUCCCAGGGGAGAGAAAGUCCAUACCGCUGUGAUAGUUUCCUAUGAAUAGGUGUCUGCAACUAUGCGUAUUUCAAUAUUCACUAUUAUGUGGUCAAAUGGAAAUCCUGGAGAAAGUUAUGGAGAUUUUGUGGAGUGGUUUUCAUUAACUCAGAAAGGAAAGAUAGGAAAUAAAAAUAAUUACUAAAAUUUAAUCAUUCGUUAAUAAUUAAUAAAUUUAAUUAUUAAAUAAUUAUUGAAGCUUCAUAAAGGGAAGUAUCGAGAAGUCUAUAAAAAAUGAAUUCAUUCCAUAACUGCCUUUGUGAAGAUGAAGAGUGGCCAUAGUAUUUCUAGCACUAAGACAAAUUCGCCACUGGGAUGUAAUUGAGAGAGGGCUUCUUUCCACUUGAUAUAUUUUGUAUGAAUAUUCACUGACCUGUGUUGUUUGGUUUUCUGGCAUUCCCUCUUAUUUGGAUUCAGACUUGCCCAGGGCUACCCUGCAAUAGGCCAUAUUCAUACCAGAAAGACAGAUUACUAAACCCCAGUUAGGAUAUGUAAGUGAUACACAUAUCUUUCAGUUCAUAAGAUUCUCAUUUUAUCUGUAGACGCUAAAAACUGUUGAACCAUCUCUAGGAAAUUUCCAGUUUCCAGGAAAGGAAGAUGCAGUCCUUCCUCUCAUUCUGUCUGUCUCCCUGGCUGUGGAGUCUGGAUGUGUUCAGGGGCUUUUCAAAUAUUUGACAAGGGCCCAAAUUCCCAUGAUUGUUCAAAGCAAAGGCCUUAUAGGAAUUGUGCCCUGUUCUC
rnacentral:lncRNA from 1 species